CCCGUACCGUAAACCGACACAGGUGGAUGAGGAGAGAAUCCUAAGGCCGGCGGAAGAAGCAUUGUUAAGGAAUUCGGCAAAAUGACCCCGUAACUUCGGGAGAAGGGGUGCCUGCGAGAGCAGGCCGCAGAGAAUAGGCUCAAGCAACUGUUUAGCAAAAACACAGGUCUAUGCGAAACCGAAAGGUGAAGUAUAUGGGCUGACGCCUGCCCGGUGCUGGAAGGUUAAGAGGAGAGGUUAGCGAAAGCGAAGCUUUGAAUUUAAGCCCCAGUAAACGGCGGCCGUAACUAUAACGGUCCUAAGGUAGCGAAAUUCCUUGUCGGGUAAGUUCCGACCCGCACGAAAGGCGUAAUGAUUUGAGCGCUGUCUCGACAAUGCAUCCGGUGAAAUUGAAGUACCAGUGAAGAUGCUGGUUACCCGCGCCAGGACGGAAAGACCCCAUGGAGCUUUACUCCAGUUUGAUACUGGGAUUCGGUACUGCAUGUACAGGAUAGGUGGGAGACGAAGAAGGAUGGACGCCAGUCUGUCCGGAGUCGCUGUUGGGAUACCACCCCUGUAGUACUGGGUUUCUAACCAGUUGCCAUGAACUGGCAAUGGGACAAUGUCAGGCGGGGAGUUUGACUGGGGCGGUCGCCUCCGAAAGGGUAUCGGAGGCGCUCAAAGGUUCCCUCAGAAUGGUUGGAAACCAUUUGAAGAGUGCAAAGGCAGAAGGGAGCUUGACUGCGACACCGACGGGUGGAGCAGGUACGAAAGUAGGACUUAGUGAUCCGGUGGUAUAAAGUGGGAUUGCCAUCGCUCAACGGAUAAAAGCUACCCUGGGGAUAACAGGCUUAUCACUCCCAAGAGUUCACAUCGACGGAGUGGUUUGGCACCUCGAUGUCGGCUCAUCGCAUCCUGGGGCUGUAGCAGGUCCCAAGGGUUGGGCUGUUCGCCCAUUAAAGCGGUACGCGAGCUGGGUUCAGAACGUCGUGAGACAGUUCGGUCCCUAUCCGGCGCGGGCGGAGGAUAUUUGAGAGGAGCUGUCCUUAGUACGAGAGGACCGGGAUGGACGGACCACUGGUGUAUCUGUUGUCGACCAACGGCAUGGCAGAGUAGCCAAGUCUGGAAGGGAUAAACGCUGAAGGCAUCUAAGCGUGAAGCCCCCCUCAAGAUGAGAUAUCCCUCCUUCGGGAGUAAGACCCCUUGAAGACUACAAGGUAGAUAGGGCAGAGGUGGAAGCAUGGCAACAUGUGGAGCUGACUGUUACUAAUAGGUCGAGGGCUUAAUCU
rnacentral:rRNA from 1 species